AGUGAAGAAUUGUAUGUCCAUUAUUUCGUGUGGAGACAGUCACUAUUUUGCAGUAACUAUAAUUAUCAUCAUUUUACAGGUGUGGAAACUGACAACUCAAAGGUGAUACCUAACUUUUCUUCAGGCCCCAAGCUGGCAGGUGGCAGAACUGGGGUGCUUCUGAGAUGUCAGCCCCUCCAUUUACUUCACCUAAGAAGUGGAAAUCAAUAUUUGAAACUUUUCUUGAAGCUUUGUGGGAAUUCCACACAUGGAAGAUUGCCAGGAGCAGAAGCAUGUGACUCGAUGUCUUUUCCUGGAGUGGACACAUCCUGUAACCACCUCCCUAGGACAAGAAAGAGGAUACGGCCAACUUUCCCCGCUGCCCCGUGGUGGGUGUCCCCUUCCUCCUCAAAGAUAAGCAUUAUCCUGAUUUCUGGCUCCAUAGAUGUGUUUUGUUUUGUUUCGAACUUCAUAUAAAUGGAAUCAUAUGGCAGGUGUUCUUUUGUGUCUGUUUUCAUUCUCCCAGCGUUAUGUUUGUGAGCUCUAUCUAUGUUGUUGGGUAUAAUUAUAGUAUAUUUUCCUUGUUGUAUUUCCUCCCACUGUAUCAAUAAUAUACCACAGUUUAUCCAUUUUACCCUUGAUGAACAGUUGGGUUGUUUUCAGUCUAGGCUAUUUCAGAGAGUGCCGCUGUAAACUUUUUGGUGCACAUCUUUGGUAGGUGUGCGCACGCAUUUCUGUUGGGCAUAUAGACUAAAGGGGAACUUACUGUGUUGUAAGGAAUCACUAUGCUCAGCUUUAAAAAUGCCAAGCAGUUUUCCACAGAGGUUGGAUCAGUUUCCAUUCCCACCAGCAGUGGGUGAGAGUUAUGCUGCUCUCCAUCCUUGUUAGCAUCUGGUGUCCUUAGUCUUUUUGAUUUUGGUCAUUCAGGUAGUAUGUAGCUGAAUCUCACUGUGGUUUUAAUUUGAUUUCCCAGAUUACUAAUAAGUUGAGCGUCUUUCCAUGUAUAGUGGCCAUUUGGAUAUUUUGUAAAUGGGCUUUUCAAGUGUCUUGCUAAUUUUUUGACUGUAUUGUUCAUCUUUCUUAUUGAUUUUUGGAGAUAUUUACAUAUUCUAGAAGGAUCCUCUUUUGGUUAUAUAUAUUGAAAAUAUCAUAUACAAUGCUGAGCUUGACUUUUACUCUGUGGUAUUUUUGGAUGAACAGAGAUUUUAAUUUUAGUGUAGUCUAAUUUACCAAUAUUUUCCUUUAUAGUUAGCUCUUUUUAUGUGCUACUUAAGAGA
rnacentral:lncRNA from 1 species